GGUUAAGCGACUAAGCGUACACGGUGGAUGCCCUGGCAGUCAGAGGCGAUGAAGGACGUGCUAAUCUGCGAUAAGCGUCGGUAAGGUGAUAUGAACCGUUAUAACCGGCGAUUUCCGAAUGGGGAAACCCAGUGUGAUUCGUCACACUAUCAUUAACUGAAUCCAUAGGUUAAUGAGGCGAACCGGGGGAACUGAAACAUCUAAGUACCCCGAGGAAAAGAAAUCAACCGAGAUUCCCCCAGUAGCGGCGAGCGAACGGGGAGCAGCCCAGAGCCUGAAUCAGUGUGUGUGUUAGUGGAAGCGUCUGGAAAGGCGCGCGAUACAGGGUGACAGCCCCGUACACAAAAAUGCACAUGCUGUGAGCUCGAUGAGUAGGGCGGGACACGUGGUAUCCUGUCUGAAUAUGGGGGGACCAUCCUCCAAGGCUAAAUACUCCUGACUGACCGAUAGUGAACCAGUACCGUGAGGGAAAGGCGAAAAGAACCCCGGCGAGGGGAGUGAAAAAGAACCUGAAACCGUGUACGUACAAGCAGUGGGAGCACAGAGCAAUC
rnacentral:rRNA from 1 species